CCCCCAUUGAUUUCCUUUCUUGGCUCCUCAGCAGUAACACACGUGACCUUGGAACAGAAGGAAGACGAGAGUGGACACUGGUGUCAUCUACCUUGGUCUCCUAAUUUGUGUCAUAGGGAUCGUGCCCGGCCCACAGGACGCUUGUGAAGACUGAUGGCCAAAGGAUCACGUGAGUUCCAAGCGCCUGGCCCACCCAAGCAUCUAAUAGAAAAAGACGCAUCCGUAAUAGAAAUGGGCAUAUGCUAGCCAUGCAUUACACAUGCCAUGCAUUACACAUGCCAUGCAUUACACAUGCCAUGCAUUACACAUGGGGCAAACGGGUUCAGGGAAGCUGAGACAUUUUCCUGAAAUCAGACAGAAAGUCCCUGAGUGGCCAAGCCAACUCCUGGCCGUUUUCUCCCCCUCCUCCCUCUGUUUACCACAUAAAGCACAGAGCAGCAUUGUAAACAUAAAAUGUUUGUGGUCCCAGACUUGGUAGCUCAGACCCAAAUCAAACUGACUCCUAAGGGAUGGUGCUC
rnacentral:lncRNA from 1 species